UCCCUGGUGGCUCACAUGGUAAAGAAUCUGCCUGCAAUGCAGAAGACCCAGGUUUGAUCCCUGGAUAAGGAA
rnacentral:tRNA from 1 species